GGCACGGUGGCCUAGUGGCAUGGUGUUGGUCUUGUAUACCAAAGACCGCGGGUUCAAAUCCUGUCUGUGUCU
rnacentral:tRNA from 1 species